GCGAGGCUGUGAUCCUCCCUGUCAAUGAGCUGAAGCCCAGCAGAAUGAACCAACACACGGAUCACUGCUGCAUCAAUGCACGGCAGGCAAGAGGAGAACGACAGUGAUGGGCUGCUACUCACAUUUCUGCCAUACCAGGGCUUUUUUAUUAUGAAUAUAUAUCAGCUUUAAUGCGAAACGAGCACCGAGGCUGCGAUGCGAUAUCUGCGGCUGCUGCUGCUGCUGGCGGCGGUGGUAGCAGGAGCGGGAUGUGGCACUCUGACGGAAAAGUCUCUGCUGAAUGAAGCGCUGAGUGCGGAGAAAAUGUUAUUUUUUUUUCUUCCUAUUACGCCCCCCUACUGCAGCACGGGCCUCCCUGCCUGUAUGACAUUUCCCGAGCAGCUGGGGUGAGAGUUCACAGCCAGUCAACGAGGUUGAGUUGAGCGGAAAGAAGAUGGCCAUCUGUACUACCUAAGGCAUAGAGGACAGCCUAACUGUCAUAAGGCCAAGGUGCUCCGUGGAAAAGAGGAGGCCAAUGUAGUCUUUGUAGACUUUCAUGCCAGCAGCACUGGUGCACACUGUGGCCAGAAAAAGACAACAGAGGCCAUCUCAAAAAGAUUUUACUGGCCUGGCAUGUCAGACGACAUUAAACAGUGGGUGAAGCAGUGUACUGCAUGCCAGGCGAGCAGAGUCAUCAUUAAGCAGGAGGUGGAGUACACACCAAUAAAAGUUUCAAAACCAUUUGAGCUUAUUGGGAUGGAUCUGAUAGGCAAGUUAAAAACAACAAAGACAGGGAAUCAGUAUAUUUGAGUCAUGGUUGAUUACCUGACAAAGUGGCCCCAGGCAUAUGCCAUAAAAAACAAGACUGCUGAGGAAGUCAGUCAGUGCAUCCUCAAGUUUUUUUAUCAGUUUGAAGCUCCCAAGAGGAUCUUGACUGACCAAGGCCGGGAGUUUGUUAAUGAGAUCAACAACAAAGUAUGCAAUAUACUGGGGAUACAAAGAAGCCUUUGCUCUCCCUACCAUCCCCAGACCAAUGGACUGGUGGAGAGGAUCAAUGGGACCAUUCAGAGGGCACUAUCAAAACUUGCACAGGAGAGGCCAGAGGAGUGGGACAAGCACUUGGAUGCUGUGAUGUUC